CCUACGGGAGGCAGCAGUGAGGAAUAUUGGUCAAUGGGCGCGAGCCUGAACCAGCCAAGUCGCGUGAGGGAAGACGGUCCUAUGGAUUGUAAACCUCUUUUGUCGGGGAGCAAAAGACGCCACGUGUGGCGUUCCGAGAGUACCCGAAGAAAAAGCAUCGGCUAACUCCGUGCCAGCAGCCGCGGUAAUACGGAGGAUGCGAGCGUUAUCCGGAUUUAUUGGGUUUAAAGGGUGCGCAGGCGGAAGAUCAAGUCAGGGGUAAAAUUGAGAGGCUCAACCUCUACGAGCCGUUGAAACUGGUAUUCUUGAGUGAAUGAGAGGUAUGCGGAAUGCGUGGUGUAGCGGUGAAAUGCAUAGAUAUCACGCAGAACUCCGAUUGCGAAGGCAGCAUACCGGCGCUCAACUGACGCUCAUGCACGAAAGUGUGGGUAUCGAACAGGAUUAGAUACCCGGGUAGUC
rnacentral:rRNA from 1 species